GACGAACGCUGGCGGCGUGCUUAACACAUGCAAGUCGAACGGAAAGGCUCCUGCUUGCAGGGGUACUCGAGUGGCGAACGGGUGAGUAACACGUGGGUGAUCUGCCUUGUACUCUGGGAUAAGCUUGGGAAACUGGGUCUAAUACCGGAUAGUAGCCGCCUUUAGUGUGGUGGUUGGAAAGUUUUUUCGGUGCAAGAUGAGCUCGCGGCCUAUCAGCUUGUUGGUGGGGUAAUGGCCUACCAAGGCGUCGACGGGUAGCCGGCCUGAGAGGGUGUACGGCCACAUUGGGACUGAGAUAUGGCCCAGACUCCUACGGGAGGCAGCAGUGGGGAAUAUUGCACAAUGGGCGGAAGCCUGAUGCAGCGACGCCGCGUGGGGGAUGACGGCCUUCGGGUUGUAAACUCCUUUCGACAGGGACGAAGCUUUUUGUGACGGUAC
rnacentral:rRNA from 1 species